rnacentral:misc_RNA from 1 species
CAAAUCUCACUUGUUGUCGUGCGGUGCGCAGUUGGUUGGUCGAAAGAUUGACUGGUGCGCAUUUGCGCCGGCAACCAUUAUACGCUUGUAUUGUUUGACAGAGUUAGUUAUUGGUGAAAAAUGUAGA